GACGAACGCUGGCGGCGUGCUUAACACAUGCAAGUCGAACGGAAAGGCCCUGCUUUUGUGGGGUGCUCGAGUGGCGAACGGGUGAGUAACACGUGAGUAACCUGCCCUUGACUUUGGGAUAACUUCAGGAAACUGGGGCUAAUACCGGAUAGGAGCUCCUGCUGCAUGGUGGGGGUUGGAAAGUUUCGGCGGUUGGGGAUGGACUCGCGGCUUAUCAGCUUGUUGGUGGGGUAGUGGCUUACCAAGGCUUUGACGGGUAGCCGGCCUGAGAGGGUGACCGGCCACAUUGGGACUGAGAUACGGCACAGACUCCUACGGGAGGCAGCAGUGGGGAAUAUUGCACAAUGGGCGGAAGCCUGAUGCAGCAACGCCGCGUGCGGGAUGACGGCCUUCGGGUUGUAAACCGCUUUCGCCUGUGACGAAGCGUGUGUGACGGUAAUGGGUAAAGAAGCACCGGCUAACUACGUG
rnacentral:rRNA from 1 species